GUGAUUGACAUGGUUUGGCAGCACAUAUACAAAUAAUUGGCAUGAUGCAGAGGUUAGCAUGGCUCUUGCAUGAGGAUGACAUUCAGAUUUGUAAAGUGUUCCGUAUCUUU